GCUGGGCACAGUGGUGCGUGCCUAUAGUCCUAGCUACUUGGGAGGCUGAGGUGGGAGGAUCGCUGGAGCCCAGGAGUUCUGGACUGUAGUGCGCCAUGCCGAUUGGGUGUCUGCACUAAGUUUGGCAUCAAUAUGGUGACCUCCCAGGAGCGAGGGACCUUCGGCUUGCCUAAGGAGGGGUGAACCGGCCCAGGUCGGAAACAGAGCAGGUCAGUACUCCCGUGUUGAUCAGUAUGGGAUUGUGCCUGUGAAUAGCCACUGCACUCCAGCCUGGACAACAUAGUGAGACCCCAUCUCU
ensembl:misc_RNA Metazoa_SRP Metazoan signal recognition particle RNA